CUGCCCCCCAGGGCAUUGGGUGAGACCGUCCCUGAUGCCCUGACUCUAUUUCCCCCAGAAAUCUUGACCUUGGAGGGAGGAGGUGGGGGUAGGGGCAGGGCAGCAGCUACCCAGCAGCGGCGGGACACAGAGGUGGCCUGGCCCCCACUGGGUCCAUGUGGUGUUUGGGCCUCUGGCUCCAGCGGCUACUGGAGAGUAAGAAAGUCUCUUUUCCGUCUUCUUUUCUUCUCUUCCUCCCCUCCCCCCCCCCCCCCCCCGCCUUCCUCGAAUCUCUGCAGUCUCAGUACUGAAGUCCCGAGUAAGAAAGUCUCUUUUCCGUCUUCUUUUCUUCUCUUCCUCCCCUCCCCCCCCCCCCCCCGCACCCCCCCCCCCCCCCGCCUUCCUCGAAUCUCUGCAGUCUCAGUACUGAAGUCCCGAGUAAGAAAGUCUCGUUUCCGUCUUCUUUUCCUUCUCUUCCUCCCCUCCCCCCCCCCCCCCCCCGCACCCCCCCCCCCCCCCCCCGCACCCCCCCCCCCCCCCCGCCUUCCUCGAAUCUCUGCAGUCUCAGUACUGAAGUCCCGAGUAAGAAAGUCUCGUUUCCGUCUUCUUUUCCUUCUCUUCCCCCCCCCCCCCUUCCUCCCUCGAAUCUCUGCAGUCUCAGUACUGAAGUCCCGGGUGGCUAUCGGCACCGAACUGGUCCCAUUUUGAGUAGCUCGCGUGGUGGUUUUGUGGUUGGGUUUGGGUUUGGGUACACGGAGGCCUGUGGGGAGAGCUGCAGGUGGGUGUGGGUGCAGGGAUUCUGAAGGGAGGAGCCCACGGGCCCUCCAUCUCCCUCCCAGUUCCCUGGGGAGCCACUUGGUGGUCGGGGUUCAGUCUGCGCUGUGCGGUGUGAAGAGAAAACAACAGACAGUGUCUUCCAGGGGGUGGUUCACAGCUGGCUGGAAAAAACACCUUGGGAGUCAGAAAACCGACCUGGGGCCGCCCCUGGCCUCUCGCUGUUACGGCUCUGUUUCUUCAGCCCCCGGUGACAGUCUGUGUAGACACAGUUCUUCCUUCCUUUGUGAAACCCCUGGGUUCAGUAGUAGCUGAGAUGCGCAGGGGAGGCCCGUGGUGGCUUUGGUGAGCAGAUGACUCUGAUGGGCUUUGCCUGUGACCGCAAGGAGCGCCUUCCCGGCCUCGAGCCCGCUCUCCUCCAGACAGUCUGCAGAGGGAGGCCUGCUUACACCCCCCACGUUGUCCGUGAGGAAUCAGAGGCUCAGAGAGGUGACAGACUUAGACAAAGUUGCACAGCACUGAGCGCAGGACCAGGAGGCAUCCGGGUCCCAUCUAUCCCAAGCCCCUGGGUGUCCGUUCUCUUGGGCGCCUCGUAGCUAACCAUGAACUCAGUGAAGUGUUGGUGUUGAUGGAG
rnacentral:lncRNA from 1 species